rnacentral:rRNA from 1 species
GAUGAACGCUGGCGGCGUGCCUAAUACAUGCAAGUCGAGCGAACGGACGAGAAGCUUGCUUUUCUGAUGUUAGCGGCGGACGGGUGAGUAACACGUGGAUAACCUACCUAUAAGACUGGGAUAACUUCGGGAAACCGGAGCUAAUACCGGAUAAUAUUUUGAACCGCAUGGUUCAAAAGUGAAAGACGGUCUUGCUGUCACUUAUAGAUGGAUCCGCGCUGCAUUAGCUAGUUGGUAAGGUAACGGUUUACCAAGGCAACGAUGCAUAGCCGACCUGAGAGGGUGAUCGGCCACACUGGAACUGAGACACGGUCCAGACUCCUACGGGAGGCAGCAGUAGGGAAUCUUCCGCAAUGGGCGAAAGCCUGACGGAGCAACGCCGCGUGAGUGAUGAAGGUCUUCGGAUCGUAAAACUCUGUUAUUAGGGAAGAACAUAUGUGUAAGUAACUGUGCACAUCUUGACGGUACCUAAUCAGAAAGCCACGGCUAACUACGUGCCAGCAGCCGCGGUAAUACGUAGGUGGCAAGCGUUAUCCGGAAUUAUUGGGCGUAAAGCGCGCGUAGCGGUUUUUUAGUCUGAUGUGAAAGCCCACGGCUCAACCGUGGAGGGUCAUUGGAAACUGGAAAACUUGAGUGCAGAAGAGGAAAGUGGAAUUCCAUGUGUAGCGGUGAAAUGCGCAGAGAUAUGGAGGAACACCAGUGGCGAAGGCGACUUUCUGGUCUGUAACUGACGCUGAUGUGCGAAAGCGUGGGGAUCAAACAGGAUUAGAUACCCUGGUAGUCCACGCCGUAAACGAUGAGUGCUAAGUGUUAGGGGGUUUCCGCCCCUUAGUGCUGCAGCUAACGCAUUAAGCACUCCGCCUGGGGAGUACGACCGCAAGGUUGAAACUCAAAGGAAUUGACGGGGACCCGCACAGGCGGUGGAGCAUGUGGUUUAAUUCGAAGCAACGCGAAGAACCUUACCAAAUCUUGACAUCCUUUGACAACUCUAGAGAUAGAGCCUUCCCCUUCGGGGGACAAAGUGACAGGUGGUGCAUGGUUGUCGUCAGCUCGUGUCGUGAGAUGUUGGGUUAAGUCCCGCAACGAGCGCAACCCUUAAGCUUAGUUGCCAUCAUUAAGUUGGGCACUCUAAGUUGACUGCCGGUGACAAACCGGAGGAAGGUGGGGAUGACGUCAAAUCAUCAUGCCCCUUAUGAUUUGGGCUACACACGUGCUACAAUGGACAAUACAAAGGGCAGCGAAACCGCAAGGUCAAGCAAAUCCCAUAAAGUUGUUCUCAGUUCGGAUUGUAGUCUGCAACUCGACUACAUGAAGCUGGAAUCGCUAGUAAUCGUAGAUCAGCAUGCUACGGUGAAUACGUUCCCGGGUCU